rnacentral:lncRNA from 1 species
UUUGUGGUGCUAAUAAAGUGGGCAAGACUUAAAUUGGGCUAAAGUCACCAAGUAACGGGAUAACUCGGGCUAAAACCAUUCAAAGCAAAGGAUUAAUGCACCAAUUUAAUAGUAAAUUAUAAUCAAACAAAAACAAGUUAGACCAAUCAAUCAUCAAAAUCAUCUCCAAAUGCAAUCAAAUAAUGCAUGGUUACCAAGAAAGAGAGAUUACCAACCAAGUCCUAAAGUAAACACUCAUAAUGACUCAUUUGUAUACAUUAACAAUCGCUCAAACCCGAUCAAACAUUACAUUUCA